CAUAACGAAAGAUGCAGCAGUGUACCGGUAAUUGAACCCAGACACCUUCAACUUGGCUUCGCUGUGCAGCCGCGGAUGAAUUCGCCAGGCUAUGCUUGGUCCCUUAGCAGACGCACAAUGCUACAAGAAACCAAAUUCUCUGGAAAAGUCCAACAACUCUUACCUUUCAUUUUUAUGAAUGGAGUGAUUGUCGUAAAGGACCUACUUCCACUACAAGUUGCACAGCGUAUAACGACAUGCCUUCCCGAAAGCGAGCAACCGUUAAGGGUCGCUUCAACUGCUUGGGUUCGAAGUAUGCGUGAUUUAAGUUAUCAGUUGUAGGAACAGCCCCUUCUUACUCCUCGUGUGGCCGUUUCUAUUUUGCUUCCUUGUGACUACAUUCCGAGAUAUAGACAAUCAGUGUGAUUAUAUAUAGAUAAAUGAGGCAUUUUAUCUCCCCGGGUUUCACCUUAACAAACAGAUAAAGAUGGUGUCCGCCACGAUUUAGUUACUUCUUCCUUUUUUGCCUGUACCGGUGAAAUUCAUUUUCAAUUUCAGCAGAUAUGGCCAGUCGUAGAACGGAACGGGGCGCGAUUAGAAGUUACUCAACGGGCGCUGGCAGUGAAACUACUUUUAAACUGUGGCUAUUUGCAGGCUGACUCACCUUUUAUUCAGGUGUGUCGAAUGUGAUUGAUUUGAUCAAAAACAAAGUUUUAAAAAUCUGACUUACCUUGAGUGUUUUGCGCGGCGUACACUGCUUUUGGAUAGAUCACGUGUGCAACUGUACCGAAAUUGUGUUUGAGUGGUUCAGUGAAUUUGGGAAUAACAAUGUAAUCCACACCAAACUCAUCAAUUACAGCUGGGAUUAAAAAAUUCCAAGUUUAAUCCAAUUCAGAAAAGUACAGUGAAAUAUGAUAAGUUUUCUUCACAAAUAUAAAAAAUCCACCCCACCUCGGGGCUUGAUAAAACGCGGAACAACGAAAAGUAAAAAUUCAAGUACGUGUGUUAUCUAUAUCACGCCCAAUCUCCAACUGUUGUGAUAGCGUUACGUGGCUGUGAGCUGAUAAAAAAGGAGUUUACCUUGUUACUCAAACAUCGUCUCACUCAUACCAACCCGGAUAGGUGGUCGGUGGUUCCACUGGAAAACGCCGGAUACACUCAUAAACAUAAUGGGGACCCACCACAUCUCGCCCAGUGAAAUUGUGACAGAGCAGCUUUCGUAAUUCCAACGAGAUUCUAUGGCGCUUAGCUGGACAUGGAAACCACGGUUGGGCGAGUGAUGCUGUGCUUGCAGUCGAGCCCAUCCGAGGACUGAUGGCUCUGAUCGUUCUCAUCCGAGACGGAGGGGCUUCUACUGUGGUUGUGCAGUU